ensembl:lncRNA
GUAACACUGUUGUUUUUUUUGGUCGUCAUGAAAAAAAACAUAAGGGGUAACAUUGGUCGUUUUUUAUUGGUCGUCAUGAAAAAAAACAUAAGGGGUAACACUGUUGUUUUUUAUUGGUCGUCAUAAAAAAAAACAUAAGGGGUAACACUGUCGUUUUUUAUUGGUCGUCAUGAAAAAAAACAUAAGGGGUAACACUGUUGUUUUUUAUUGGUCGUCAUGAAAAAAACAUAAGGGGUAACAUUGUUGUUUUUUAUUGGUCGUCAGGAAAAAAAA